GGGGAUGAAAAAAAAGGGAAGAGAAAGGAGACGGGGAUGUUAUCAGUGAACACUUAUCGGCGCCUUAAUAAGGCCUUUCAUUAAAAUCAAUUGAGUUGUGAGGAAAAAUGGGCCCGCUGUGUAUAGAACAGGCACUUGGUUGAAGGAAUUUUCCAUGUAAUAUCUCAUUGAAUGUAAUCAGUUCUGCAGAUAUGACUUUUUUUUUUUUUUUGGGAGCUGGGAGAUUGUGUCUCUCAUUGUGGGGGUAGAGGCAACACACACAUAUGCAUGAACUCCACACACACACACACACACACACACACACACACACACACACACACACACACCGCAAAACACAAACAGACAGCACACAAAAAAAACCCCACCACACACCAUCUUGUCAAAGCCAGAGAAACAGUACCCCGGCCCAACGAUGGAGUAAUCCAACUCAAACACUCCCCAAACCAGCAGGAUUAAACCCAAAGUAGCAGAGCCAAUCAAACAAAGGCGCGACGUGAACUCCAUUUCAAUGCCAGGAAGUCCAUUUGAUGAAAUAAAGUACAGAGAGUUUAUUAGUUCACAAGUGUGAACUCUUGUUUGUGUGUGGCUUUUUUCUUUUUUUUUUGUACUUUGCCGCCUGCAUUGCUACAGUUUUCGGAGCUGACAUUUAGCUUUUGUAAAAAAAAAAAAAAAAAGGAGUUG